GGUGGUGCAGUGGUUAUAAAAAUAUUCCUUGUGCUGAUGGGAGUUCCUUGUGAACGGCUCCUAUACACCCAUAAAAUCUGAGCAACA
rfam:Triticum aestivum genome assembly, contig: Triticum_aestivum_CS42_TGACv1_scaffold_591797_7BS